GGGUGAACGGGCACGCGGCUCUCACCUGCCUCAGGCUCAAAGCACCAGGCAGUAACCUGGCCGCCGCCAUCUGCAUGUCGCACCUUGAUGCGCUCACAGGCAGGCCCCACCUCCACCCCGGGGGCGGGGACAGCUCAGACAGACGCUUGAGGCCAAAGGAAAUGCUGUGGAUUCCGGAAGACCUGCAAUGUAAACAAAAACACCCCGCAGCAAAUGAUAUCGGGACUUUAAUGUCCAAAAUGGAAUCCUGGAAGUGUAAACAAGAACAGAAGUUACAAGACUGCAAAAGAAUUACUUCCACGCCAUUCUUCAGCCAAGUUAAACAAUAACUUUACUAGCAUGAUACUAACAUUGUGAUGCAACGACAAGAAUUGCUAAUUUAAUGUACAUGAACUUUGUCUCAUCAAUAAGCAACUAAAAAUUAGCAAACUCUUCAUUCAAUAGUAUAACUUGAAUAUGAUCCAAAGCAUGUGACAUUAUGUCUACUUCCCCCAUCUCACUGACAAGUGGAUGAUGUUUUAUAGAAUUAUACAAACUACAGAAUCAAUUAGUUCAUUUACUGAGCUUUCAAUGGGAGCAAUUUGAGUUUAUUUCUAGUAAUUAUAUAGCUCUUACCUUCGAGUCAGGAUUGUCCAGCACAACAAAGAUGACAAAAAUAUUGCUGCGUCGAGCAGUCUCAACAGCUGCUGUAACUCGCUCUUUCCCUUCCAAGAACAGACCUCGUCCGUCAGACACUAUCAACAGUAACUGUGCUAUUUCUGCCAAAAAAAAAGUACAUUUUCACGAUUCUGGGAUUUAUUUCACCACUUUGUUUAUAUACAAAAGGCUAAUCAAAUUUUCUUUUAGAAAUUGUAUUAGUUUAAAACAUCGCAUAAAAUGACUUUUUGCCUCACUAACCAUUGAAACACCUCUAUCAUUUCAACAUACCACUGCUAGAAUCCCUACAAAAAAAAAACUGUUUUCUCUCAUGUGCCAUUUAAACCAUUCACGGCACUUCCUGAAAACUGGUGUGAUAGCUUACUGCCAUCAUAAAUCUUCAUUUGGAACCCUACUGGGUGAUUCAACAAUGUCAGUAUGACUAAUUCCUUGAUGAUGGGAUUCUGCAUUCAUUUACUUUCAGUCGAGAGUGAUCAAGAAGUAGAUAUCAAUGCUCAAUUUGUUCCACGCUUCCACUCUCACGGAAUAUAGGAUUUUCAUGUUCUUUAUAGUAGUGGGCAAAAUUACAAAUUGAAGCCUCAGAACAGAGCUAACUUUUGGCUUGAGAGCACAGCAACACCUGCACAAUUAAUCUGAGUCAAAACACAAGAGUACUCAACCUAUACCCUUCAAUAUUUUCACAUGUACAAGAAAAUGCACAAGACGUUGGUAUAAUUUCUCAGUGCAUCUUUCAGAAAAGCCCAGACGACAUCUUAGUGAGGUUCAGUGCAGUGUGUACAUUGUUAUCAUUGUUCAACAUUUACAGUGCAAGUUGGCAAAAAAACAACUGUCUUUCACAUAUCUAACAAAAGAUGAUUGUGGCAGAGAAGUGGAGAAGGCUUCUUGAAUGUGGACAGCAAGUAAUAAAUUAGUGUUAAAACUCUGACCUGGUUUUCCCAACUGGGACUGGUCCUGUGCUGCAAUAAACAUGUUGGCAGCAGAUUCCAGAAACUGCAACAGAAGUUGGAAAUCAGAAUUACCAGCAUUACUUUAUCCUUCACAAAAUAUGACGUUGGAAAAGUGUAAGCAAUUAUGAUCCAAGGGAUGAAAUUUUCAGUUCUUAGCUCAAUUCUCAUUCAAUGUAUUUAUUUCCUCAAAGAAAAUUUUGUCUGAUUAGUCUUAUAGUCUGCAUUAAUUAUUAUUGUUUGAUUUAGAAAAUGAGAUUAUAAGAUAUCUCCAUCAUUCAUACAAUGGUUUAAAAUGCUCAAAGCAAUUAGUUUAUGAUAAUACUGACAAAUUAAUACUAUUACAAAAUGGUCUAAUUCCCCACCCAACAAUCUCUUCCUGGGAAUGUGAUUUUAGUUGCAGAAGAGAUUAACUAUAAUUGGCCCUAGUGCUGAGGAGGCAAAACAAUUUAGACUGGGCUACAUCCGCCAUACAAAGCUUAAAUAAACACAAACACGCAGUUUUUCUUAGCACACAUUGCUUCUUGUAAACAAUUACUAUUAGUAUGAGCACCAACCUGAGCUAUCUUAGUUUUCUUCUGUUGGAACUGACAGCUCCUCAGUAUUCUUGCUCCUGACUGAUCAUUGAACAGCUCAUGGAAUGGAUGCAGCAACUGGACAUUCUCUCCAAAGCUGACAAUUGUCAAGAGGAUGGAAGUUAGUUAACAAGAAUGUUAACAAGGACAGUGUAAACAUGCAAGAAAAUUGACAACCAUGAACACAACUUCGGUGAGACAGCAAAUAACAUGGUACCAGAAUGUGUCAAAUAACAGCACUGUAGUCUCUUAAGAAAUAGCAAGUAUGUUUAAAAAGAAACACCUGACACUGUCAAAAUCAAGAUCAGAACAAACAUGAAAAUCAUAAGACGCAAUGAAAUGGGAUAGAUUUGUCAUGGUGAUGGUAGGUUACAAGAAAUCUGUAACAUUUAUAGGUGCAUAUGCAAAUAAAUGUUGGACUUUG